rnacentral:tRNA from 1 species
GCGCGCAUAGCUCAAUGGUAGAGCGUUUCGUUGACAUCGAAAAGGUUCCAAGUCCGAUUCUUGGUGCGCGCA